rnacentral:rRNA from 1 species
AGUCGAGGGGUAUAGUUUUCGGACCUAGAGACCGGCGCACGGGUGCGUAACGCGUAUGCAAUCUACCUUUUACAGAGGGAUAGCCCAGAGAAAUUUGGAUUAAUACCUCAUAGUAUAAUGACUCGGCAUCGAGAUAUUAUUAAAGUCACAACGGUAAAAGAUGAGCAUGCGUCCCAUUAGCUUGUUGGUAAGGUAACGGCUUACCAAGGCAACGAUGGGUAGGGGUCCUGAGAGGGAGAUCCCCCACACUGGUACUGAGACACGGACCAGACUCCUACGGGAGGCAGCAGUGAGGAAUAUUGGUCAAUGGGCGCAAGCCUGAACCAGCCAUGCCGCGUGCAGGAUGAAGCAUCUAUGGUGUGUAAACUGCUUUUGUACGAGAAGAAACACUCCUACGUGUAGGAGCUUGACGGUAUCGUAAGAAUAAGGACCGGCUAACUCCGUGCCAGCAGCCGCGGUAAUACGGAGGGUCCAAGCGUUAUCCGGAAUCAUUGGGUUUAAAGGGUCCGUAGGCGGUUUUGUAAGUCAGUGGUGAAAGCCCAUCGCUCAACGGUGGAACGGCCAUUGAUACUGCAAGACUUGAAUUAUUGGGAAGCAACUAGAAUAUGUAGUGUAGCGGUGAAAUGCUUAGAGAUUACAUGGAAUACCAAUUGCGAAGGCAGGUUGCUACCAAUACAUUGACGCUGAUGGACGAAAGCGUGGGGAGCGAACAGGAUUAGAUACCCUGGUAGUCCACGCCGUANACGAUGGAUACUAGCUGUUCGGAGCAAUCUGAGUGGCUAAGCGAAAGUGAUAAGUAUCCCACCUGGGGAGUACGUUUCGCAGAAUGAAACUCAAGGAAUGACGGGGGCCGCACAGC